CCAGAGAGGCCGUGAUAAACCACCUUGGAAAGGUCGUGCCCGAUGAGGCCGUGAAAAACCACCUACAAGAGGUCGUGCCCGAUGAGGCCGUGAAAUACCACCUAUUAGAGGUCGUGCCCAGAGAGGCCGUGAUAAACCACCUAUGAAAGGUCGUGCCCAGAGAGGCCGUGAUAAACCACCUAUGAAAGGUCGUGCCCAGAGAGGCCGUGAUAAACCACCUAUGAGAGGUCGUGCCCAGAGAGGCCGUGAUAAACCACCUUGGAAAGGUCGUGCCCGAUGAGGCCGUGAAAAACCACCUACAAGAGGUCGUGCCCGAUGAGGCCGUGAAUUACCACCUGAUUACAGGUCGUGCCGAGUGGGGCCGUGAUGCCACUGAUUUAAAUUUGCCGAGUAGGGCCGUAGUUGAGAGCAAUGAUUGAUUUGCUAGAAUGACAUGUAAUCGGCCGAGUCGAUUGAUCGCUGAGACGAUCCAAGUGGUUGAAUGGUUUGUUAAUGUGAUUGUGCCAUGGUUGUUUGGUUAUCAUAAUUGUACGUGAUUGGAUUAUAUAAAUUGUGCUAACCUGCAGAUGAAGGCUGAGGCGAGGUAAGUCUUCUGUGUGAUGUGGCUAGGCCACCCGGGGCGUAUUUUCUUUCUAAUAGGGGUUUAGGGGGUUGAACUUGCUGAGACAUCGUCUCAUCCCGGUUGUGGGAUUAAAAUUUCAGGUCCCUGGUGGACGGAGCGGCCAGAUAGCUUUGAUUGGCCUUGAGGAGUUACAGAGGUGAAGUCAUAAGGGUUGGAGAGCGUGUCCUGCUAGUUGGUUGUAGGAUAGUCCCCCUUUUGUCGAGCUGGUCUAUUUUGUAGAAAGUACAGUGUUGUAUUUAAACCCUUUGUGUUUGUAAAUGAGUGUUUGGUAUUGUGAUUGAUUGCCUGCUUUUCUAUCCCAAGUUAAAUGUUGUCAGGGGAUUUGUUUCGCUUCCGCAUGCGUAAAGAAAUGAAUGGGUCGGCGACAUAUCCUGGGAUGUCGCAUUUUUGAUCGACCGUAGUGGGAUGUGCACGCGCUCGAGGUUCGGGGCGUGACAUCCCCGUUUAAGUGGUAUCAGAGCAUGGUCUGUGUAUGGAGUGAUAAGGUGCGAGGAGUCAUGGGAUAGUUAGUAGGAAAGGCUUUUAAUAUGCUGAUGCAUGUGGUUGAUAGCUGCUUGGUAGCUUGUUUGUGGGGUCACUCAAAUUCUAACCUGAUGUUGGAAUUGAAAACAGGCAUCGAUAAAGAGCUUGUAGGAUGAGUGACCAGGAGUGGAGUACUCCUUGGAAGAGGUCAAUAGGACCUGUACCUCGGGGUAGGAUGCUGACAAGAGUUGGUACCCGAGGUAGAGCGCAGGCUUAGACCAGCGCGAGUGUGAGAGUACCGCCGGAAGUUGGUACUGAGAGUGUUAUAGCACCGAAUGAUCCUAGGUUUAAUGAGAUCGUUAAGGCGCUAGUGUUCCUUGGAAGCUCGUUGGGUCAGUAAGUUCAGGACCGAGCCGCCGCUGUUGCCGCUAUUUCUACCGCUGCCAGUGUUGUGACCGUUGUUAUUGUCAUGCCUGUUGAGGCCUAAUAUGGAGUUGUGAUCGAGGAUCAAGCCGCCGUAUCUUAGUAAAGGUUCAGUUUAGACAGAGAUUGAAAUCGAUUGGGGAGAAAGGCUGAUGUCAGAUGAAAGGUGUCCUGUUUCACCCAACCGGAAGAGUAGAGUUGGAAAGUUAGUGCUCAACUCGAUCGAUGCGUGUCGUGUUUGUAAGAAAAGACAUGGAUUUGUUCCGUGCUGUAAGAGGGAAAUGACUUGUUACAGGUGUUGCUAGUAAAGCCAUUUGAUCAAAGAUGGCUUGUAUAGAUGGACGGAACUAUAGCUGUUUCUGCACCGCCGUUGAUAAGACAGAACAUAGGAAAUAUGCUUCGGGACAUUUGAUGGGGUACUUGGAACAGACCCCAGUGCAAAGAAGGGUGCAUGAUAUUCCUUGAUAGAAGGUAGAUGACUCCCUGAUUGUGUGCCGAGUCAGUGGAAAGGAGGCAUGAGUUAGCCCGGUGUCAGAGUAAAAAGGGGAGCAUGCUUUGAGUGUGGCCAGCACGGCCAUCGAGUUAGGAACUGUCUGCGUAAGUUCAGGAGAGCGUAAGUACCGUACUGCAGAUAGGACGCCACUAGGAUGGCUAGAAGAGCAUGAAUGGGUUGACCAUGCAUUAGUCAAAGGGAAAAUGUUCUUGAGGGAAUUUUAUCAUAGUAGUGCAGCAUAAUUUUCAGUGAAGGUUGUGGAGUUUCCGUUGUUGUAAUAAAGUAAUAGGAAGAUGAGUCUCUGACUAUAGUUGUACCUGAUGGGUUUGCCUAUGUAUGACUUGGAAGUCAUUUAUGAAAAGGUUUGGCUCAAGGAGCUUUUUGCUGUUUUGAAUCGCGGUAGUGAUAUAAUUCAGUUUGUUCAGCUAGCGAGCGAAAGUUUUGAAUCACUGAAAGUUGAAGAGGAACUUCAAUCCUUGUUAUUCGUCACUGAAGAUGAUUUGGUUCAGGUUGUUGGUUAUCGAAUCUACAUGGCAACUGUAAUAGAUGCGUCAGUUGAGAAGCCAGAUAUGAGAAACUUAGCCAUGGUACAGAAGUUUUCUGAGGUGUGUCAGGAAGAAUUGCUAAGUCUGCUGUCAGAAAGAGACAUAGAGUUUGCGAUUGAAUUAGCACCCGGAACAGAGCCAGUCCCUAAGGCUCCUUACCGGAUGGUGUUACCCGAGUUAAAAAAAAAAAAACUGAAGGUGUCGAUGCAGGAAGUGUUGGAUAAGGGAUUCAUACUUUCCAGUGCAUCACCUUGGGGAGCAUCAGUUCUGUUCAUAAAGGAGAAAUGUGGUUCGUUGUGGUUGUACAUCGAUAUUCUUCAAGAUCGACUUGAGGUCAGGGUAUCAUCAGUUGAGGAUCAGGAAGAAAGACAUACCAAAGUUAAGACCUCGCACUCGAUACAGUAGUUAUGAGUUCACUGUAAUGUUGUGUGGUUUAAUAGACACCUUAGCUAUUUGUUGGGUCUAAUGAGCAGAAUGUUUGAGGGUAUUUAAAUCAUUUGUGAUCGUGUUCAUUGAAGUUAUCCUAGUGUGUUCAAAGAGUGCUGAGGAGCACGAGAGGCAUUUGGGGAUGGUACUUCAGACCUUGAGUGCUUUUGGAUUUUACAAUAAGUUUAGCAAAUGCGAGUUUUGGAUGACUCGUGUUGUGUUCCCAGGUCAUGUGAUUUCAGGAGAAGGAAUCUCCGUAGACCUCGUAUGAAAUUAAAGCAGUGAUCAGUUGGUCGAGAUUGACUACAGUGAUAGAGAUAAGAAGUUUUUGAGGAUUAACAUGAUAUUUCAGACCGUUCGUAGAAGGGUUUUCAGCGUUAGCGUUACCGUUGACAAGACUACUGAGAAAGGAAGAGAAGUUCGUAUGGACAUGUAGGUGCGAUCGUAGUUUCAAGAGCUUAAGUAGAAGCAGACUACCGCACCUGUGCUGACCAUUCCAUCUGGUCCUGAAAGUUAUGAGGUCUGCAAUGAUGUGUCGUUUAAAGGAUUUGGUUGCUUGUUGAUGCAGCAUGAUAGAGUUGUUGCAUAUGCGUCCUGUCAGUUGAGGCCUUAGGAGUUGAAUAUGAGAUGACGUCACUGGAUGGAACUCAUUAAGGAUUAUGACCAUGAUAUUUUGUAUCACUCUGGAAAGGUGAGCAAAGUUACAGACGUACUGAAUCGAGAGUCCUUAGUUGCACAGUCGGUACUCAAGGAUUUAGAUAUUAUUUGAGAAAGUUCGAAAUUCAAUUUUCGAAUCUAAGGUAGGCCACCUUUUGGAAUCUUAUGACCACCCUCAGAAUUAAGCGGAGAGUAUAGAUCAUAAUCAAAUCGCUUCAGUGGACAGAUUCAGAAAUUCAGAAGAUUCUAUAAGAGAAUGCAAUUGAGAGAGAGGUUGAUUUUCAGAUUUCUGAUGACAGAACGCUAAGGUUCUGAGGACGAUUGUAUGUAAUUGAGAAUGCUGAGAUUAAAGAAUAAAUCUUAUGGGAAGCUCAUCAUAGCAACUUCAGCGUUGUCCAGACAGUAAAAAGAUGAGUCAAAAUCUACAUCAUUGGGAUUGGUAGAUCGGUAUGACGAUAGAUAUCGCCGAACAAGUUGUAAGUGUUGGAUGCGCCAGUAAGUGAGAAAUUGGUAAUGUAAGCUAGGAAAGCUUUUUCAAGUACUGGAGAGAGGUUUGUGUGAGAAUGAAAGUAUAACAUGAUGGAAUGUUAUGACAGGUUAUUAAGGAGUCAGGAAGAGCAUUGAUUCCUUAUGAGGUUGUAGUCGACAGGUGAUCAGAGUCAACUCACCUUAAUGCACGAAAAGAUCUCGAUUGGAAUAGGUAUACCGAAGUGUGUGUAUAUCAUAUAAAUCACCGGCAUGGAGUGCCGAGGAUAAAUUGUAUUUCAAAUCUAGAUCAGAUGUUCCAAGUUUGCAGAGCUUUCAGAUGGUUCCUUCUUAAGCAGUGCAUAGCAGAGAGUGCAGAAUUUCGAUUGCUGAGAUGAAAUCAGGGAAAGAAAGAUCACAAGCCAAGGUCAGAACAGUAGUCAGUGAUUGCAAUUGCCGAGAUCAGUGUCAGAAUUAUAUCAGAUCUUGACCAGAGGUUCUCAGUUUCAGCAAGUGAGUCAGAUAGUUUCUCUUUAAUCAGUGCAGAGCAAAGUGUACAGGAUUUCAGUCGGUUGAGAUGAGAUCAGAGAUUAGAAAAUCGCAGAUUUUGUGUUGAAUACCUUUGGAAUUUUAAGUGGGCAAGCAUUUACUAUUUUGGAACUCGAAGUGGUUUGGGCAAGAUAGUAGUGAUUUGGCAGUAUUGGUACUUAAGGUUACUGAAGGAGCAAUUAGAGAAACCGAAGAUUCAAUGAGACAAUUGUACCCCCACCUUUCUGUUUAAGAAUUGGCAAAUGUUUAAAUUUCGAGGACGAAAUUUUUAUAAGGGGGGAAGAGUUGUGACAUCCCGAUUUUUCCAAUCCUAUUUUCAACAAAUUGAGACGGGCAUUUCGUUGGCACGCAUAUAGUUCUUUUCCUUGAGUCGGCCACUCAUGUGAAAACUAGUAUAUCGGGUGAAACUGUUAAGAAUUUCUAAUGCAUUAGACUCGAGAAUUUGACCAGGAAGCGACCUUUCGACCGAGCUAGUCUGCAAGGGUCAUUACGGCACAAUUAAAAUCGAUUAGAGAUCGGGGAUAGGUCGACUCGACAGAGGCAUGUGAUCAGGUGUGGGUGAUUCCACCAGAUCGCACAAUUCUUGUCGAUCGGCACUUGACCGACUUUUCUAUCGAUUGGGUACCCUGUGUUCGUAUUUGAAACCUUGAGAUUACCCCGACAACCGAAAGUCGCCAAUGUUUCAAAGAUGUACAUUGUGGCUUGAGAUGAUCAACCACAGGUCAAAUGCAUGAAAAUUUCUAAAUGCUACCCGGUAGGUUGGGCCGCGCUAGUAUCGUGCCAAAGUGAAAUUAAUCGUGGGAUUGAGAUCAAAUUCAGAAAUUGGAAGUCUGGGUGUGUCACAAAUCGUUUUAGGAUCAUUAAUUCAUCUUCGGAAGAUUUUUCAUGCAAGCCGAGUUUUUCGGCAAAUUAAUCAAGGUAUGGCUAAUUUGGCUCGAGAAAUUAGUAGGCCCGCUUUUGGUCGUACUUUUGGGAAUUAAGUUGGUUCUACGGAUCAGUGAAGAUGUUAAUUAAGGUGUGGUGACAUUUGAUUAAUUUUAUGGACUUCAAUUGGAUUCAAUUGGAAGAGAAUUGAUGGGAAUUGAAGAAAUUGGAUGUACAAUAAUUGGACCCCGGCGGAAAAAUGAAAGUGCAACCAUUGGAGAAGUUGUGGAGGAUUUGGGUGAGUGGAUUGUGAGGUCAUCCUAGGUCAUGGUGGGCCACCUUGAUUGGAUGAAGGAAAAAGAGAAAAAGAAAAGGGAAAAGAAAAAGAAAUGGCCCCCCUUCUUCUCUCUCCUCCCUCUCUUCUCCCUUCUCUCCCGUGCGACUCCUCCAUCUUCUUCUUCUUGCUGCUCGACGGAACCGAGCAGACCAGCGGAGCCGAAGAAGUCGCACGCCUCCGCCGUUCGCCGUCGCCGCCCGUCCGCACCCUAGCUGCUCCGCCCCUCCACCCGCUCGCCGUCGCUUAGCCGCGCCACCGUCGCCCUCUCUUCUCCAUCUCCAGUUGCUGCUCGUGUCCCAGCAGAUCUGGGAAGACGCCGGAGCAGCCAGCAGUCUAGUCGGACCGCCGUCGCGCCCCGCUUGCCGCCGUCCGCCUCUCGCGACACCCCGCCGUCCUCGCGCAGGAAGCCUGCUCGUCCCUGCUGUUCCGCGAGUCCAGCAGUCAUUCCAGAUCUGGGGAAGCUCAGCCGGAGCCGCCCAGCUCACCUCCGGCCACCGUGAAGCCCCGCCUAGGUCCGGUUCAGCUCCUCCGCCCAUUCCCGACCCCAACCAGCCCCGGAUCUGCUCAUUUUCGGCCCCAACCAGCAGCGAGCAGAGAGUUGGAAAAUGGGUAUGCAGCGGACGUUUGGCCCGUUUUGGCCGCCUUCCCGAGCCCGGAUGCUCGGCCCGCCUUGAGGAAAGUUGUUCUCCUCGGCGUCCCCGUCGUUUUGGUCCGCUCGGCUCGCUAAUCCAGUGAGUUUAGCUCACUAAACCUCGGUUAGAGGGUUAAUUAUGCUUUAGGUGUGCUUAGCUUAAGUUGAUUAAGCUUAGGUGGUUAAUUUAGUUGAUUUAAUUAUGAUUUAGAUUAAGUUGUUUGUUUAAUCUAAAGUAUGUUUAAUUAAAUGCUAAGAGAGUUUAUUUAAAGUUAAGUGGGUGUUUAUAUUAAUAUAAACAUUGAUGUGACAUAAAGGAAUUUACCUUUGGUUUAUUUAAAUAUCUCGAAAUUAUUUAAUAAUUUAAUAAUUUAUUAUUAUUCGAAAUUAUUAAAAUAUUAUUAUUUAAUUAUUUUCGGAAUAAAUUUAAUUAUUUAUUAAAUUCCGAAAAUUUUGGUCGGGACCCUAAAUUCUCAGAAUUUCGUGUCGGUCGCUACGUUACAUUCGGAUUUUGAAAUUGAUGAUUGGAUAUUAUAAAUUGAGUGUGGAUUUCGAAAACUAUGGAUAUUAUUAUUUAAUUAUUUUCGGAAUAAAUUUAAUUAUUUAUUAAAUUCCGAAAAUCUUCAUUGGGACCUUAUUUGCUCAGAAUUUCGUGCCGAUCGUUGCUGUGCAUUUAGAAUUUGAAAUUGAUGAUUGGUUGUGAUGAAUUGAGUGUGAUUGUGAUUUAUAGAGAUUCUUUACGAAAUCCUAAGCGUAGAAAUUGAUGGGAGAUUGGCUGUGAAAUACCACCUAUUAGAGGUCGUGCCCAGAGAGGCCGUGAUAAACCACCUUGGAAAGGUCGUGCCCGAUGAGGCCGUGAAAAACCACCUACAAGAGGUCGUGCCCGAUGAGGCCGUGAAAUACCACCUAUUAGAGGUCGUGCCCAGAGAGGCCGUGAUAAACCACCUAUGAAAGGUCGUGCCCAGAGAGGCCGUGAUAAACCACCUAUGAAAGGUCGUGCCCAGAGAGGCCGUGAUAAACCACCUAUGAGAGGUCGUGCCCAGAGAGGCCGUGAUAAACCAC
rnacentral:lncRNA from 1 species